rnacentral:rRNA from 1 species
AACGGCCAUACCUUUUGUUGAAUAUACCGGUUCUCGUUAGAUCACCGAAGUCAAGCAUCAUUGGGCGAGGUCAGUACUUGGGUGGGUGACCACCUGGGAACACCGCGUGCCGUU